CACCUGCAUAUGAACAAUCACCCCCACCUUCACCAACGUACUCACCUCCUCCACCUACAUACUCUCCACCAUCACCAAUUUACUCGCCUCCUCCACCUGCAUACUCACCACCUCCACCACCAGCACCAACUUUAUCGCCUCUUCCUCCUGCAUACUCACCACCACCAACGUACUCCCCUCCUCCACCUACAUAUUUGUCACCGCCACUAUCACCAAUUUACUCGCCUCCUCCGCCUGUAUACUCACCACCACCACCACUACCAACGUAUUCCCCUCCUCCACCUACAUAUUCGCCACCACCACCCCCGCCACCAUCACCAAUUUAUUCACCUCCUCCACCACCACCAUCCUUCUCACCACCUCCACCCACAUAUGGACAAUCACCUCCACCUCCACCAACAUAUUCCCCUCCUUUUCCUGCAUACUCACCACCACCACCGCCAACAUAUUCUCCUCCUCCACCGACAUACUCGCCUCCUCCACCUGCAUAUGCACAACCACCACCGCCGCCAACAUAUUCUCCUCCUCCACCUGCAUACUCCCCUCCUCCCCCUGUAUAUGCACAACCACCACCACCUCCACCAACAUACUCACCUCCUCCACCUGUAUACUCACCACCACCACCAUCACCAAUUUACUCGCCUCCACCUCCCCAAGUGCAGCUACCACCACCGACUUUCUCUCCUCCUCCUCAUAGGCAGCCACGACCACCUACACCUACACCUACUUAUGGCCAACCACCAUCACCACCGACUUUCUCUCCUCCUCCGCCAAGACGAAUUCACUUGCCGCCUCCUCCUCAUAGGCAACCACGACCACCUACACCUACACCUACUUAUGGCCAACCACCACCACCACCACCUCCACCAACAUACUCACCUCCUCCACCUAUAUACUCACCACCACCACCAUUACCAAUUUACUCGCCUCCACCUCCCCAAGUGCAGCCACCACCACCGACUUUCUCUCCUCCUCCGCCAAGACGAAUUCACUCGCCUCCUCCUCCUCAUAGGCAGCCACGACCACCUACACCUACACCUACUUAUGGCCAACCACCAUCACCACCGACUUUCUCUCCUCCUCCGCCAAGACGAAUUCACUUGCCUCCUCCUCCUCAUAGGCAGCCACGGCCACCUACACCCACACCUACUUAUGGUCAACCACCAUCACCACCGACUUUCUCUCCUCCUCCGCCAAGACGAAUUCACUCGCCUCCUCCUCCUCAUAGGCAGCCACGGCCACCUACACCCACACCUACUUAUGGUCAACCACCAUCACCACCGACUUUCUCUCCUCCUCCGCCAAGACGAAUUCACUCGCCUCCUCCUCCUCAUAGGCAACCACGACCACGACCACCUACACCUACUUAUGGCCAACCACUACCACCACCACCUCCACCAACAUACUCACCUCCUCCACCUGUAUACUCACCACCACCACCAGUUGAUUUUGUUUGGGCCAACCACCACCACCAACUACAUAUUCACCCCCUUCUCCUCCUCCAUAUGGGCUUCUGCUUAGCACUCCAUAAACUCG
rnacentral:lncRNA from 1 species